rnacentral:rRNA from 1 species
UACGGGGGGAGCAAGCGUUGUUCGGAUUUACUGGGCGUAAAGGGUGCGUAGGCGGCGCGGUAAGUCGGGUGUGAAAUCUUGGAGCUUAACUCCGAAACUGCAUUCGAUACUGCCGUGCUUGAGGACUGGAGAGGAGACUGGAAUUUACGGUGUAGCGGUGAAAUGCGUAGAUAUCGUAAGGAAGACCAGUGGCGAAGGCGGGUCUCUGGACAGUUCCUGACGCUGAAGCACGAAGGCCAGGGGAGCAAACGGG